CUUUUGUCCUUAUGUCCCAUGUGUCAUCAAUUGCUUAUGAACCACUUGACAGAACUUUGUAACACUUCGAUACAAUCUUUCUCUCAUGAUGUACUUUUUCAAAUGACAAUUUAUAAAGUAUUAGGUUCAUAAAUAAUACCAUAAAAAGCAUGUUGGGAAUAACAACUUUUUACAAAUUGAUGCAAAAUAUUUGAUGCAGUAUCCAUUGUUAUAGGUUUCCAAAAAUGGAUCCCACCAGAACAAAAAGAAUAAGUCUAUGAGGAAAAUAAAGGCAUAGAUCAACAACUAAAAACUGUAAUGCACAGAUAAUAUAUGAGAUCGAGAUAGAACUGAAACAAGUUGGCGAAGAUAUGUGAUAUCACAUGCAUUGGAAGAGCAGUGCAAAAUAACACUGAAGCAGAAUUAUGAAACAGUGAUUAAAAACAUCAAAUUGAGAGAGAAAUUUUACAUGUUGUAACUAUAUCAUGCUGUUCAUUCUUAAGAUUAAUGUUUAUUGUACUUGCAAUGGAAGUGAAUACAGUAGAUAAAAAGAGAAAGUUAAACAUU